CACUCCUACGGGAGGCAGCAGUGGGGAAUUUUGGACAAUGGGCGAAAGCCUGAUCCAGCAAUGCCGCGUGAGUGAAGAAGGCCUUCGGGUUGUAAAGCUCUUUGUCAGGGAAGAAACGGUGAAAGCUAAUAUCUUUUGCUAAUGACGGUACCUGAAGAAUAAGCACCGGCUAACUACGUGCCAGCAGCCGCGGUAAUACGUAGGGUGCAAGCGUUAAUCGGAAUUACUGGGCGUAAAGCGUGCGCAGGCGGUUUUGUAAGUCUGAUGUGAAAUCCCCGGGCUCAACCUGGGAAUUGCAUUGGAGACUGCAAGGCUAGAAUCUGGCAGAGGGGGGUAGAAUUCCACGUGUAGCAGUGAAAUGCGUAGAUAUGUGGAGGAACACCGAUGGCGAAGGCAGCCCCCUGGGUCAAGAUUGACGCUCAUGCACGAAAGCGUGGGGAGCAAACAGGAUUAGAUACCCCGGUAGUCCCA
rnacentral:rRNA from 1 species